GAGGGUAUAGCUCAGUGGCAGAGUGUAUGCUUGGCAUGCAUGAGGGUCUGGGUUCAAUCCCCAGCACCUCCA
rnacentral:tRNA from 1 species